rnacentral:rRNA from 1 species
GUCUAUGGCCAUGCCACCCUGAACAUGCCCGAACCUGUCUGAUUGAUCCUGGAAGCUAAGCAGGGUCAGGCCUGGUUAGUACUUGGAUAGGAGACCACCUAGGAAUACUGUAGGCAUUAAAA